AGAAGUGGUAGAUGUUGGCGAGGACCCAGCAGCCAUCCAACACUACAUCGGAGAUGAAGUGUACUGAGCUGCCUCCAUCAACUGCUUAUCGCUCUCCCGCCAUGCUACCCUGAAUCCUCAAACUGCAACAAGUCCCAUUAAAUCCUUCCUAAGUUGCUUUGUUCAGGCUCUCCUGUGGACCGCCUUCUGUACCUGCAUUACAGAACUUUGGAACAAGGGAAGAACCAUGACUUAAUGAGAGAGAAGCCACUGGUGGGUCACGUUUUCUCCAUUACCUAGGAGGCUCAAGUUAUGGUGGCAGGAAACAAGGCUCCACUGUAUUAACCACCGGUGGAAGGUUCAUCAUAUGAGGAUUGCUUCUUCCUCAUCAUAGACUUUACAGUAUGGAUGCUGUGCCCUGUCCUACAAGGUUCAUGUGGGUGAGCACCAGUAGCCUGCCCAGGAAAAAGACACACUCCUCACUACCGGAAGUGGGGUUGAAGAAGGCCUCUUCCUUUUUUCCAGCAUCCUUAGUCCCAAGUCACACUGAUAUAAAGGAGGGUUCUGAGCUUUGGUACUGAGGCUACUCGUGCCCAAUGUAUAGAUGGAAAGACAGAGUCUAGCCUGGGUCCAACCUCUACUUCAGCGCCUGGGGAAAGCUGUCGUUCUAGACCCCCACCAUGUAGCACACACCGUACCUUCAAUUUCUGGAGCACGUCGAAGUGCACUGACCGCGGAUCAGCAGGCCGGUAGGUUUCUGUUUUCUACUUAGUUUUUGGUGCCAUCUGGUGGCCACGGUUCAUCAUAGCUCUGAUUUGCUUCAAAGGCUUCUGACAAGCAAAGCACCUAGGCAAUCAUUUCCUUUGUCAUCUUCCCAUUUUGUUUGGGAGGUUCGGAAGACUUCCGGAAGCCACACCCACUUCCUAUGGUCAGCGGGAUCUAGCGCUGGGAUGGACUUGCUAGCAAGCGACCAUGGCCGUACUACGACAUCUGCCUUGCUUUUUCUUUUUCUUUCUUUUUUGUUUGUUUUUGAGACAGAAUCUCUCUCCCUCUCCCUACCCUCCUCUCCUGUGAAUCUUCAUGUGCACAUGCACACGAACACACACACACACACACACACACACACACACACACACACACAGAGGAGUGCAUCCCUAAAAUAAAAUAAAAAGUAAAUAGGGGCUAGUGAAGUAGUUUAGUGUAUAAUAUCAAAUAUGAGUCAUUUUUGUUGAAAACUGUAGAACUUGUGUUUGGAACAAAGAAGUCAAAGCAUUUUAUCUCUCCCACUUUGUAAGCAGGGGUUAUAUAUCUUUCCCACCUCCUCUCUCCUAUCCCCCACCCCUGCCAGUUAAACCUUUGUUAACACAGAGGGCCCCUGUUGCGGUUCAGUAACCUGAUGACCUGGAGAAGUGACCCUUUUCCCCAGGGAGCAGUGACCUCUUUCAUUUCCUGUACUUACGCCAGUUCUUUUCCUUUCUUUUUCGACAGGGUUUCUCUGUGUAGCCCUGGCUGUCCUGGAACUCACUCUGUAGACCAGGCUGGCCUCGAACUCAGAAAUCCGCCUGCCUCUGCCUCCCAAGUGCUGGGAUUAAAGGCGUGGGCCACCACUGCCUGGCUAUGCCAGUUCUUUUCAAACUAGCCAAAUGAAUAAGACUGUGCACUGGGCAGGUGAAGAAAAGACCAACUCACAACCUGCAUUAGAAUAGAAAUCAAGGGCAUUUCCUGUCUCUUUGUGCUCACUCUUCCGAGCACAAAGUAAAGUUUCAAGAGUAAAGUUUUGCCGUGUCCGCUGGAGUGGUGGUCUCUUUCUUUGCGACCAUGAGCUUAUUUCUAUCAAUUGAUAAAGGCAUUUAUUUGCUGCCAAUUGUGAUGAUCUGAGACCCACACGGUAUGAACUCUCACAAGUUGUCCUCUGACCUCCACACACAUGGCUGAACGUACAUAUAUGUACACUCAAUAAAUGUGAUUUGAAAAUGGUAAUGAUAAGUUGUGUUGGGUCUCAGAACUCAGGUUAAAUGGCUGACAGAAGUGCCUAAUAACAUAACAAAAUGCCUUUAAUCCCAGCACUCAGGAGGCAGGUGGAUU